CUAUAGCCCCGAUUCUAGUGGAAAUCCUUGUGGCGGCAGGCAUUUAUGCCGACACAAGAUUAAAGCGAAAAGCGGGAACUAUA
rnacentral:sRNA from 1 species